UACGGGGGGAGCGAGCGUUGUUCGGAAUCACUGGGCGUAAAGGGCGCGUAGGCGGUUGGAUAAGUCAGAGGUGAAAUGCCAGGGCUUAACCUUGGAAUUGCCUUUGAUACUGCCCGACUAGAGGACGGAAGAGGAUAGUGGAAUUCCUGGUGUAGCGGUGAAAUGCGUAGAUAUCAGGAAGAACACCGGUGGCGAAGGCGGCUAUCUGGUCCGUUACUGACGCUGAGGCGCGAAAGCCAGGGGAGCAAACGGG
rnacentral:rRNA from 1 species